ensembl:tRNA Mitochondrial arginine tRNA (tRNA-Arg); predicted by tRNAscan-SE analysis
AUAUCUUUAAUUUAAUGGUAAAAUAUUAGAAUACGAAUCUAAUUAUAUAGGUUCAAAUCCUAUAAGAUAUUAUA